rnacentral:rRNA from 1 species
CUACGGGACGCUGCAGUGGGGAAUCUUGCGCAAUGGGCGAAAGCCUGACGCAGCAACGCCGCGUGCGGGAUGAAGGCCUUCGGGCUGUAAACCGCUUUCAGCAGGAACGAAAAUGACGGUACCUGCAGAAGAAGGAGCGGCCAACUACGCGCCAGCAGCCGCGGUGACACGUAGGCUCCAAGCGUUGUCCGGAUUUAUUGGGCGUAAAGAGCUCGUAGGCGGUUGAGUAAGUCGGGUGUGAAAACUCUGGGCUUAACCCGGAGACGCCAUCCGAUACUGCUCUGACUAGAGUUCAGGAGGGGAGUGGGGAAUUCCUAGUGUAGCGGUGAAAUGCGCAGAUAUUAGGAGGAACACCGGUGGCGAAGGCGCCACUCUGGACUGAAACUGACGCUGAGGAGCGAAAGCAUGGGUAGCAAACAGGAUUAGAUACCCCCGUAGUC